UAGGGAAUAUUGGACAAUGGGGGCAACCCUGGUCCAGCCAUGCCGCGUGAGUGAAGAAGGCCCUCGGGUUGUAAAGCUCUUUUGUCCGGAAAGAAAAGCUUCGGGUUAAUACCCCGGGGUUCUGACGGUACCGGAAGAAUAAGCACCGGCUAACUUCGUGCCAGCAGCCGCGGUAAUACGAAGGGUGCAAGCGUUACUCGGAAUUACUGGGCGUAAAGCGUGCGUAGGUGGUUGUUUAAGUCUGAUGUGAAAGCCCUGGGCUCAACCUGGGGAUGGCAUUGGAAACUGGGCAGCUAGAGUGCGGUAGAGGGGAGUGGAAUUCCCGGUGUAGCAGUGAAAUGCGUAGAGAUCGGGAGGAACAUCUGUGGCGAAGGCGACUGCCUGGACCAGCACUGACACUGAGGCACGAAAGCGUGGGGAGCAAACA
rnacentral:rRNA from 1 species